CGGUUGAUCCUGCCGGACCUCACCGCUAUCGGGGUAGGACUAAAACAUGCGAGUCGAGCGCCUCUCAAGCGCUAUGGUUGUGAAGGCGCGGCGAACGGCUCAGUAACACGUGGCUAACCUACCCUUGGGACGGGGAUAACCCCGGGAAACUGGGGCUAAUCCCCGAUAGAUGAGAAUUCCUGGAAUGGAUUCUCAUCUAAAAGGCGUCUAGACCAUGCUUCUAGACGCCGCCCAAGGAUGGAGCCGCGGCCGAUCAGGUUGUUGGUGAGGUAACGGCUCACCAAGCCUAUAACCGGUACGGGCCGUGAGAGCGGGAGCCCGGAGAUGGGCACUGAGAUAAGGGCCCAGGCCCUACGGGGCGCAGCAGUUGCGAAAACUCCGCAAUACGCGAAAGCGUGACGGGGCUACCCCGAGUGCCGUCCGCUGAGGACGGCUUUUCCACGGUGUAAGGAGCCGGGGGAAUAAGGAGAGGGCAAGACUGGUGUCAGCCGCCGCGGUAACACCAGCUCUCCGAGUGGUGAGGACGAUUAUUGGGCCUAAAGCGUCCGUAGCCGGCCAAACAAGUCUCCCGUUAAAUUCAACGAUUUAAUCGUUGGUCUGCGGGAGAUACUGUUUGGCUAGGGGGCGGUAGAAGCCGACGGUAUUCCCGGGGUAGGGGUGAAAUCCUAUAAUCCCGGGAAGACCACCAGUGGCGAAGGCUGUCGGCUAGAACGCGCCCGACGGUGAGGGACGAAAGCUGGGGGAGCGAACCGGAUUAGAUACCCGGGUAGUCCCAGCUGUAAGCGAUGCGGGCUAGGUGUUGAAGCGGCCACGAGCCGCUUCAGUGCCGCAGGGAAGCCAUUAAGCCCGCCGCCUGGGGAGUACGGCCGCAAGGCUGAAACUUAAAGGAAUUGGCGGGGGAGCAC
rnacentral:rRNA from 1 species